GUUGGCGUUUGCAGCCCGGAUCUCUUCCCUAUCUUAUUCCUUUCCGUUCUUAGUUUCUAUAUUAAACUCUAUAGUUAUAUACAUUUGGAGUAUUCCGUUCUGUUAGAUGCUCAUGACUAGUGGCACCCCGGUAUCGGGCUGUGUUGGGUUAUUUUCCGCACACUUUACUAUUAUCUGCUACUUUGAGAUGUUAUUAUUACGCUUCGGACUUAUUUCUUGUCGUUUAUCUGUUAAUAAUUGAAAUGGGAAGUGUCGGCUGGCCUUGUCUUCACGAGAGGCUCUAUUACGACCGGGUUUGGGUUUAAGGUCGUGACAUACACGGUUGACAUGUUAUAGUUUUAAAACACAUGUUAUAAGUGCCAAAAUUGCUAACGGUGAUUUUCAAAAUAGGCAUGUUUUUAUUCCAAGAAUACAACUAUUAGCAUCACAAGAUGAAAAAUUCCAUUUGCUUUUAAUAGAACAUAAUUUCCAGUACGAUUGUGCUUUGCUGACUUUAAAUAAAGCUCAAAAUCAAACUUUGGAUUUUGUUGGAAUUUGUUUACGUGAACCAGUUUUUUCCUAUUGUCAACUUUAUGUUGCUUUAUCAAGAGCUAAAAGUUCAAAAGGUAUGAAACUAUUAAUUCGACUGCUGACAUCAGACACCGAGGAUGAUCACUCAACCUAUAACAUAGUUUAUGAUGAAGUUAUUCAAAAAGCAUUCAAUUAACUGAUGCCAGGUAAUAAUUUUUAUGCUUCACAUGCCACAAAAAUAUAUGUGAUGUUCACUUUAUACAACUCUGUUAAAUUCUAAAGUCAUUUGUACCUAUUUGGCACUUACUGUUUUAAUAAUUGUUACUGUUGACGGUUUAGGUGUAUUAUUUGAUGGAAAACAUAUGAUAUUUGUAGCAAAAAUACUCAAGUAAGAAUCUAAGGGGCAACAGCUAAAAGAGUAAUAAUUUUGGUCAUUUCGCUGAUAUUCUCUGUGGAUAACUACUUGGUUCUUUUAAAAAAAAAUUAAAGGUUUGAUUCUUUGUCAGUAAAGAAUAUAGUUUUUUAACUUAAUUUUGGUGAAAUAAGAAAGUUUGUGAAAAAAAUGAAUAAUGUUUUCUCUAAUGUCUAGAGUUACCAUUUAGCAUUGCCCUGCUAUUAUCUGUUUUAGUACUCUUAUUACUUGUAGCGGGAUUUUCUUAUUUAUGUUUCUUCUGAUGUAUUGCUCCAAUGCCAUCCACACCAUUGUUCAUUUUUUCUAUGUUUUAGCCCUCCUUUCAGUACCUAGCAAUGCCAUCCUGACCUAUUCAAUUUUGUAAUGCUUCAUCAUUUGGAGUCGAGAUAUCCAUCAGUUCAGCAAGACAAACAUGAAGGGAUGUAUGGCAUUGUUAGCCAAUUGGGUGUUGGAAAUGCUAUCCUAAUUAUCCUUCAACUCUUCUUUGCUGCUAUCAUCCUUAUGUGCUUAGAUGAACUUCUUCAGGAAGAUAUGCUUUUAGCUUCUGGAAUUUCCUUGUUCAUACCUACCAAUAUCUGGCAAGUUUCUUACAGGCCACCAUAAAGAUUUUCUUGGGUUCCUCAAUACAAUCUUGGAGCUUUUGAUUUCUCGUUUAUUAUAUUUUGCUGUGAAAGCAUUAUCUAGAAAGCCUUUAGUCCCACAACCAUCAAUGGCAGGCGUGAUGCUAAAUUUGAAGGUGCUAUUAUUCUUUUAUUCCAUCAUACUAUUACUAGAUCAUAUAAGAUCAGUGCCAUUCGAGACGCGUCCUAUCAGCAAAGUCUUCCCAAUCUGACAAAUCUGCUUGCAAGUAUGCUGAUCUUCCUUCGUGAUGCUAAUGAAAAAAUUAUGCUUACAUUGUGAUACAACUCAACCCACGACAAACACAAGGAGUACAUCAAGUGCUACUCAGUUCACAUAUCUACUAAGAGGGUAUCUAUGAAUUAAAUAAUCAAGUGAAAGAUAUAAGAGUCUUCUGCGGAGAAGGUUCCCAAAAGAGAACGGACUUGAGUCCGAUAAGUGACUGCAGUGAUCAAUCCAACACUAGGUUUGGUUGAUAAAAAGGCAUAAAAGAAUGCAAACAAGUUCACCUAAGCAUCUUUGUUGAUCAGGUUUGUCAAAUUGCUCCUACUCGGUCUGCUGACUCACACUCCCUAUAAAGGCCAUCUGGUAUUUUCGCUUUUGGGUAAAUGGUGGGCAAUAUCCGAUUUCACUUCUCUUUCCCGUACGAUUAUUCAGGGACUGUGUAAACACCGUGCUCUUCAACUGAAGUUUCUGUGUGGAAUUGGCUACUGUCAUGUUGGUGCCCUCUCAUUGGUGAUAAACAACUUCAAUAAAAUGUGUCAUGUUACUCAUUUCAAGACUUCUCAAAAUCUCUUCGGAAAUAGAACAACACAUCCUUAUCUUAUUCAGACCAUUGUGUACAAUAAUGGCAGUGAUGAAUGUAAGAUGAGGCAUCUUCUCUGGUUUGACCCUACUCUGGACUUCCAUUGUGUACUAUAAUUUCAAAAAAGUUUCAAGUUGAACAAAUUUAUGUAAGCACAACAUAUUUUAGAUUAAGAUAUAGUUAAUGACGAUCAAUACUCUUUUGAA